rnacentral:lncRNA from 1 species
AAGAUGUUUUCUGUUAUGAAGAAAAAUAAAAGAAACUGGACAUGUGACUCUGAUCCCUGGGGGACAGGCCGUGUUUUAUUACUGUUUGUGCCCCUUGUUCCAACACCAGCUGGGUCACAGUAGGUGCUCAAUAAAUGUUUACAAAUGUGGGAGGGGCAAGGGGCUGAUGCAUUCACUGGUCCCUUACAGAUGGCGUGGGCUGGACUGGAACUUUUUGCUAUGGCCCCUUCCCGACAUUCUCAUAUGAAAUCCAGCAUGGUUGGAAGCCCUCAGUUCUCAGAGGUGGGGCAGAAUUGUCCCGAGGCCCCUGUGCCCUCCAUGCCUCGUGAGCUGGGCUCGGGCAGAACCGGGUGCUGCAGGAGUCGGCGGGCCAAAUGUGCAGGAGAGAAGCGUCUCUGGGAAAUGACACGAAGUGAAGGAGCUUGGACCAGAAGGAAGGAAAGGACUGCUUUGAACCGCUGUUGUGGGUGGGAGGGAUCAGACAGAACAUUCUAUGUCUUCACCGCGGGGUGGGCUGCGUGGGGGUAGCUUUCUCAUUUCCCUGCGCCGGCUGUGCUCUGCUCGCCAAGACCAUCCUUACCGAGACAGCCUGGCUGCCCGAACCUCCCCCGAAGGACAAGGCUUCUCUGGUCAGGCAGGCCUGUCGGGGGUCCCAGGCUCUGUGAUGACUGCCUGCGCUCCUCAGCUGCCUCUGGUCGGCCUCAGCCUCGACUCUGUGUAUUCCUGCCCCCUCCACCGCUGGCUCUGCCCUGCUGUACCAGGGCCAUUCGAUCACCCUGGGCUUUGUGUCGUCCUUUCUUUGCAAAGGUAUGCUUUCCACUCCUGAGAUGCCUACCCUUUCGUUCUCACUCCUGUUUCCAUUAAACGAAGCUCAGAGACUUCCAGUUCAAACUUCUUGCAUUUACACAGCCUCUGAGUUGACUCAGGGGCUCGCUGCUGCCUCCACACCCCAACCCCCAACACACCUGGGGGGAAAGAUGGCUUCCUCCUUUCCUUUUCUUUCUUUUCUGUACAAUGAUGGGGGUGGAUUUAAAUACUUUUAUAUUCUCUCUUUUUGUGUUUUGAAACAUCCUGAUGGAGGUAAGAUGGACUGUGAACCCUAUUACCUUGAGUGAGGUAUGGGGAGAGCAGAUGCGGAUCAAGAGAAAGACAUCAGAGAGUUUUACGGUUUAGUGGCACUCCCAGCUCCCUGGGGAAAGCACACCGGGCCAUGCCGGGCCCCACGGGAAGCAGUAGGGUCAGUGGUGGGGAGGGAAACCGUGGGCAAGCCUUUCUAUUGUGGUUUCUGCAUGUAGGAGCAGGUGAGGCAGGGUAAGAAGGCUUAGGAUUGGCCAGUUUGGAUAAUUCAGUGGGCUCUGGGGUACAGGUACCACUUGUCUGUACCUGGCCCUGGGCUGAUGGGGCACAUGGACAGUAGCCUGGAGUGUGAGACUGUGAUAAGGGUGGGGGUUGUGGGCUUAAUUAGCUACUCACAAAGGGACCCACCACCCACCCCUCGCCAGGGUCUCAACUGGGUCAAGACAGCAUUUAAAAGAAAAACAUAUUAUAUUGACAUAAAAUAAAUCGCAUAUACUUAAAGUGUACUGUUAGCUG